rnacentral:rRNA from 1 species
UAUGGAGCAAGCGUUAUCCGGAUUUACUGGGUGUAAAGGGAGCGUAGGCGGGUUUUUAAGUCAGUUGUGAAAGUUUGCGGCUCAACCGUAAAAUUGCAGUUGAAACUGGAAGCCUUGAGUGUACACAGGGGUGCCGGAAUUCAUGGUGUAGCGGUGAAAUGCUUAGAUAUCAUGAAGAACUCCGACCGCGAAGGCAAGUGCCCGGAGUACAACUGACGCUGAGGCUCGAAAGUGCGGGUAUCAA